GGGUGGGUGGCCUCUUGGAGGAAGCUUAGUUGUUUUCGUUGAUGGGUAUCUCUUGGGUCAGUAAGUCAGUCAUACGAAGAUUACUGACCCUCUACUAGGCUACAAGAGAGUGAGAUGCUGCAAGCUCUAUUCAUCAUCUCCUCUCGUGAUUGGUGUUAACGACAGUAAGGCAGCGUUUGUGAGGCUAAUUUGAUGUCCGGCGCCUGGCUGAGUUACUGUCAACAGGAGCUACUGUUGGUGUGACUACUUCUUUUGCUUCCCUAGUUACCACGCCAACUUUGGCUCAAGGAGACCAGGCAGCGCUGCAAAGCGGUUAGGUGG
rnacentral:misc_RNA from 1 species